rfam:Heligmosomoides polygyrus genome assembly, scaffold: HPBE_contig0009563
GCUCCUCGAUCGGUGCCACCUCCACGUGGUGAGGAGCGGGCAACAGGAAUCGCUGGUUCCUGGCUAAGAGCACCU